rnacentral:ribozyme from 16 species
UUCUGAAAUGGAGGAAAGUCCGAACACCAUAGUGCGAUAUAGUGGUUAAUAGCCACCGGCCGAAAGGUUAGGAAAAGUGCAACAGAAAGUAUGUACAGGUAAUGCUGUAGUGAAAUCAGGUAAACUCUAUGUGGUGCAAUGUCAUGUAAACCAAUGUUUGAGGAUAGCACGUCCGAUGUUGGAGGGUAGACAGCUAAAGAUUAUUGGUAACACUA